AUUGAACGCUGGCGGCAGGCCUAACACAUGCAAGUCGAGCGAGUGGCGGACGGGUGAGUAAUGUCUGGGAAACUGCCUGAUGGAGGGGGAUAACUACUGGAAACGAUGGCUAAUACCGCAUACCAUCGGAUGUUCCCAGAUGGGAUUAGCUGGUAGGUGGGGUACAGGCUCACCUAGGCGACGAUCCCUAGCUGGUCUGCGAGGAUGACCAGCCACACUGGAACUGAGACACGGCCCAGACUCCUACGGGAGGCAGCAUGGGGGAAUAUUGCACAAUGGGCGCAAGCCUGAUGCAGCCAGGCCGCGUGGAUGAAGAAGGCCUUCGGGUUGUAAAGUACGUUCAGCGGGGAGGCGUUACCCGCAGAAGAAGCACCGGCUAACUCCGUGCCAGCAGCCGCGGUAAUUC
rnacentral:rRNA from 1 species